UGGCGAUUUUACUUUUCAAAUUACCUGUACAGCGCUAUCACUGCUUCAGCGCCACCUGUAGCAAGUUUUGGUACUAGAGUUCCGUGGCUUAGUGCUUUUCAUGUCAUCAUUCAUCACACUUUCACAACUCAGGUGGUUUACAUUAAAAAAUGUUCACAGUAAAGCUUAUGAUUUAAACUCUUUUACUGGAUGGAUGAUUCGCGUUUGCGCAUAUGAGAAGCUAAAAAUUCUACUGAUUUAAGACAAACAAAGCAAGCUGGUAGUGGAUAUAGCCUUGGAAAACAAGUUGAGUUGGUUCUUUGCUGUAUUACUUUUUUACAUGAACAACAACAUGUCUAUCAGUUUAAUAAUGGCAGCUGUUUGGAAAGGGUUGGGUUGGUUGAGGAAGGAUGUUCUGAAACCGAUAACCACUGGAAGUGUGUCCAGAAAUUGCCACCACCAUUUACAUUCUGUCACAUUGAGGUAUUCUUAUAAAGAGAUGUAAGUGUAUUACUGGGCUACCUUCUUUUAUGUGGCCUGUCUCCCCUUGACUCAUAAUAAUUAGUAGGUCAUACCCCUGCUGUGAUCAACAGUGAAUUUAUAGGGCUCUGACCAGAAAGAGGAUGUGGGGGUCCUCAAAGCCCAUUGAUGUCAUUGGAAGUUGAUGAUGCUACCCACUAAUCUGAAUCAAAAGUUAAUUGCUCCUGGAAAAAUGUUCUUUAUCUACUGCUCUUCUUCUGUCUUCUAUUAACCAAGAACUGGGGCCAAUUGAGUCCUUAGCAGGCAUUGUUACAGGUUUUUUUAUCAGAUAUUAUCAUAAUAUUGCUGAAUCACAUUGGCCAUGAUGAUUGCCUAAUCACAAGGAGUGAGCUCAACAGUCAUCUUUCAGACUGGGUUUCCACAUUUGUGUUUAAGAUAUUUCAUCUGAUUGGUGAAUUCUUAUGGGUUUCCAGCAUAAUUGAUGUUCAGGACUGCACCAUCCACAGUAUGAACAGGCCAUAAAUAACAAAUGUAAGGUGGUGUUAAUGGAACAGCCAUCAAACAGAACCAUAGGCAUCACACUGUACCAUACCUGGAAUUCAUGACAUUGGUGUAUUAUAUUUUCAAAAUUAUAAUAAAAAGUAUCUUUCAAUUCCAGAGCGAAGUUAACGAAAGACGCGUGGUGCCUGUUCAAACACCUACAAAACGAACAAAAGUUACUAAUUAUAUUGUGAAGAAACGGAAUCCUUAUUGAUGCCGGGUUUUCAAAGUGGGUUGCGCCUCGACUCCUGCUGCAUAUUUUUAAGACAUCUAGAGGAGAAAUAAUCAACUCCGAAGAAUUUUCAUGGGCAUGUCAGCUGUUCCGUCAGCUGUUCUAUUUCGCGUGGCGUCGGACUGAGGAUGGAUGCUUAAAGCAAACCUUCUUGAAAUUUCACCACCGAUUUCGUGUGUUUUGAGCUGGAUAUUGUUAAUUCAAUCAAUGCAGAGUUGUUAAAGGUAUUAUGACAAAAAAUCCAUGUAAAAAAACAUUGUACCGUAUUUAAUUUGAAUUUUUAAAGAAGGAACAUGGCUUGGCUUUGCUAGCACGUUUUUUCCUCUUCGUUAGUCUAAUGCACCCAUUUGGUACCAUAGUUGAUUAUAAAGGAAGUAGUUCUUUAUGAUCUUUUUCCCUAUCUAGAUCUCUUAGGUUCUUGGAGGUGCCAUUAGGUGAUUUAGAAUUUAUUGUUAACAGUUUAAGUUUUUGUAAUUGUACUUUCAGGUCUUCGGGAUGUACCUGAUGUAUUGUGGUGGCAGCAGAAUCAUUCUGUGACAGAAAGGAAUGCCACCAUUGUUCUGUUGUCAGUUUAAUACAAGAUUUCCAGUAUUA